rnacentral:rRNA from 1 species
AUUGAACGCUGGCGGCAUGCUUUACACAUGCAAGUCGAACGGUAACAGGCCGCAAGGUGCUGACGAGUGGCGAACGGGUGAGUAAUGCAUCGGAACGUGCCCAGUCGUGGGGGAUAACGCAGCGAAAGCUGCGCUAAUACCGCAUACGAUCUAUGGAUGAAAGCGGGGGACCGUAAGGCCUCGCGCGAUUGGAGCGGCCGAUGUCAGAUUAGGUAGUUGGUGGGGUAAAGGCUCACCAAGCCGACGAUCUGUAGCUGGUCUGAGAGGACGACCAGCCACACUGGGACUGAGACACGGCCCAGACUCCUACGGGAGGCAGCAGUGGGGAAUUUUGGACAAUGGGGGCAACCCUGAUCCAGCAAUGCCGCGUGCAGGAAGAAGGCCUUCGGGUUGUAAACUGCUUUUGUACGGAACGAAACGGCUCUGGUUAAUACCUGGGGCUAAUGACGGUACCGUAAGAAUAAGCACCGGCUAACUACGUGCCAGCCGCCGCCGUAAGAC